rnacentral:rRNA from 1 species
GUCUUUUUGAUUAAUAAUUUAAAGUUUAAUUUGCCCCCUGAUUAAUAAUUAAAGGGCUGCAGUAUAUUGACUGUACAAAGGUAGCAUAAUCAAUAGUCUUUUAAUUGAAGACUUGUAUGAAAGAUUUGAUGAAAUAUAAACUGUCUCUAAAUUAUUUAUAGAAAUUAAUUUUUUAAUUAAAAAGUUAAAAUAAAUUAAAAAGACGAGAAGACCCUAUAGAGUUUUAUAAUAAUUAAAUUUUUUUUUUAAAUAUAAAAAUAAUAAAUUCAAAGGUUUAUUAUUAUUUUAUUGGGGUGAUAGAAAAAUUAAAAUAACUUUUUUUAAUAAAAAUACAUGAAUAAGUGAAUAAAUGAUCCAUAAUUAAUGAUUAUAAGAAAAAAUUACCUUAGGGAUAACAGCGUAAUUUUUUUUUUUAGUACAAAUAAAAAAAAAAGGUUGCGACCUCGAUGUUGGAUUAAGAUAAAAUUUAAAUGCAAAAGUUUAAAAUUUUGAUCUGUUCGAUCAUUAAAAUCUUACAU